rnacentral:rRNA from 1 species
UGUCAGCCGCCGCGGUAAUACGGAGGGUGCAAGCGUUAUCCGGAUUCACUGGGUUUAAAGGGUGCGUAGGCGGGCAGGUAAGUCAGUGGUGAAAUCCUAGAGCUUAACUCUAGAACUGCCAUUGAUACUAUCUGUCUUGAAUAUUGUGGAGGUAAGCGGAAUAUGUCAUGUAGCGGUGAAAUGCUUAGAUAUGACAUAGAACACCUAUUGCGAAGGCAGCUUACUACGCAUAUAUUGACGCUGAGGCACGAAAGCGUGGGGAUCAAACAGGAUUAGAUACCCUGGUAGUCCACGCCCUAAACGAUGAUUACUCGACAUUUGUGAUACACUAUAAGUGUCUGAGCGAAAGCAUUAAGUAAUCCACCUGGGAAGUACGACCGCAAGGUUGAAACUUAAAUGAAUUGGCGG